AACGAACGCUGGCGGCAUGCCUAACACAUGCAAGUCGAACGAAGGCUUCGGCCUUAGUGGCGCACGGGUGCGUAACGCGUGGGAACCUGCCCCUUGGUUCGGAAUAACACAGAGAAAUUUGUGCUAAUACCGGAUAAUGACUUCGGUCCAAAGAUUUAUCGCCGAGGGAUGGGCCCGCGUAGGAUUAGCUAGUUGGUGGGGUAAUGGCUCACCAAGGCGACGAUCCUUAGCUGGUCUGAGAGGAUGAUCAGCCACACUGGGACUGAGACACGGCCCAGACUCCUACGGGAGGCAGCAGUGGGGAAUAUUGGACAAUGGGCGAAAGCCUGAUCCAGCAAUGCCGCGUGAGUGAUGAAGGCCUUAGGGUUGUAAAGCUCUUUUACCCGGGAUGAUAAUGACAGUACCGGGAGAAUAAGCUCCGGCUAACUCCGUGCCAGCCGCCGC
rnacentral:rRNA from 1 species